CCUACGGGAGGCAGCAGUAAGGAAUAUUGGUCAAUGGGCGCAAGCCUGAACCAGCCAUGCCGCGUGCAGGAUGACGGCCCUCUGGGUUGUAAACUGCUUUUAUACGGGAAGAACAGCAUCUACGUGUAGGUGUUUGACGGUACUGUAAGAAUAAGGACCGGCUAACUUCGUGCCAGCAGCCGCGGUAAUACGAAGGGUCCAAGCGUUAUCCGGAUUUAUUGGGUUUAAAGGGUGCGUAGGCGGCUUUUUAAGUCAGUGGUGAAAGCCUGAUGCUCAACAUCAGAACUGCCAUUGAUACUGAAGAGCUUGAGUACAGUUGAGGUUGGCGGAAUGUGUCAUGUAGCGGUGAAAUGCUUAGAUAUGACACAGAACACCGAUUGCGAAGGCAGCUAGCUAAGCUGUUACUGACGCUGAUGCACGAAAGCGUGGGGAGCAAACAGGAUUAGAUACCCUGGUAGUCCACGCCCUAAACGUUGAUAACUCGUUGUUAGCGAUAUACUGUUAGCGACCAAGCGAAAGCAUUAAGUUAUCCACCUGGGAAGUACGGUCGCAAGAUUGAAACUCAAAGGAAUUGACGGCGNGAGAGNGCGACGGACGACACGAGGGAGGAGG
rnacentral:rRNA from 1 species